UAAGCUUUGUUCAUUGAAGGUUUUCAUGGUUUAUUUCAUUUGUGUUCGUAAAUGUUUAUUUGCCUUUGUGUAUAUUCGUUGUGUUGAUUUACUUUUGUUACUUUUUAGUUUCACGGUGCUUGAUUGUGUUCGAACGACGAUAUUAAAGAGAGGAAACUUAUUGUAAAGCGUUAAUGAAUUUCCUAAAGGCAGAAUCUACUAAGAUUUGCUUAAUUGCAAGAAACGUUUUUGUGAUGCAUUUCAGAAAUGGGUUCAUUUCCUCUUUUUCCACCCAAUAUAAAUCAGUCAAAUGAGCAUCUCAGACACUUUCUGAACUCCAGCUCAGACUCAACAAGACUCUUUCAUUUCUACAAGCUCAAGAACGAUACGCAGGAUGAGAUCGGCGGUUCUCCUCGUACUCCUCGUCACUCUGAUGAUCACCGAUGGAUGGGAAGAGUUUCCCUGCGAGUCAGUUAAUGAUAACAAUGCUUAUGAUUGGUUUGAACAGAAACAUAUUCUCUCAUCUAAUUUCGACACAAACAGUCGAAGUGCUUGGGAAAGUUACCUAACAAGAAAUGGUCUCUGUGGCAGAGCUCUUCUCCAGUCCUUCCUCCGCAAAAAAGACAAGGACAGAGUUAAAGGAAUCUGCCAUGAACGAGGCGUCAGAUACAGUGGCAACCUGUGCAUCAGUACAAGAUCGUUGAAAGUGUACAUUGUUCAAAGUUAUUAUGAUUCAAAUAGAAAGUGUAGAGCUCAGGUUCAGUCUCAGUACUAUUAUGUGGUUGUAGCUUGUGAUGUCACUGGCAACCAAUGUUUGCCUGUUCACUAUCAGACACAAACUACCAGCCGACCAUCCGGAAAUCUGCCCUGCGGGCCGCGGGCCUAUUUCUAGGUACAGAAUAGGGUUGAAAAGGGGAAAGAUAGUAGCAAGUUAUUUCUACUAGGAUUUUUCACAUAAGCAUCAUAAUCCAAGACAAAGGCAAACAUGUUCAUUAGCUUCACUUCCAUCAUCUAACAUCAUCACUUCUAAAGCUGCUUUUAGUUCUUUUAGGUCAGAGAUUUUCAUUUAUUUUUGUGAUUGCUUCAUUUAAUGAGUACAGAAUCAGUGAAUGUGUGAUUUUUUUUGUCAAAGGUUCCCUGAAGUAUUUGAUUGGAGAAAUUAUUUCUGUUUAUUACUGUUUUUAAUGUGGUCAUAAAGAGACUGUGGAUAUUUUCACACUUUCAACUAAAGUCAAUUUCUGAUUCAC